rnacentral:rRNA from 1 species
AUGAACGCUAGCUACAGGCUUAACACAUGCAAGUCGAGGGGCAGCAUGAACUUAGCUUGCUAAGUUUGAUGGCGACCGGCGCACGGGUGAGUAACACGUAUCCAACCUGCCGAUGACUCGGGGAUAGCCUUUCGAAAGAAAGAUUAAUACCCGAUGGCAUAGUUCUUCCGCAUGGUAGAACUAUUAAAGAAUUUCGGUCAUCGAUGGGGAUGCGUUCCAUUAGGUUGUUGGCGGGGUAACGGCCCACCAAGCCUUCGAUGGAUAGGGGUUCUGAGAGGAAGGUCCCCCACAUUGGAACUGAGACACGGUCCAAACUCCUACGGGAGGCAGCAGUGAGGAAUAUUGGUCAAUGGACGAGAGUCUGAACCAGCCAAGUAGCGUGAAGGAUGACUGCCCUAUGGGUUGUAAACUUCUUUUAUACGGGAAUAAAGUGAGGCACGUGUGCCUUUUUGUAUGUACCGUAUGAAUAAGGAUCGGCUAACUCCGUGCCAGCAGCCGCGGUAAUACGGAGGAUCCGAGCGUUAUCCGGAUUUAUUGGGUUUAAAGGGAGCGUAGGCGGACGCUUAAGUCAGUUGUGAAAGUUUGCGGCUCAACCGUAAAAUUGCAGUUGAUACUGGGUGUCUUGAGUACAGUAGAGGCAGGCGGAAUUCGUGGUGUAGCGGUGAAAUGCUUAGAUAUCACGAAGAACUCCGAUUGCGAAGGCAGCCUGCUGGACUGUAACUGACGCUGAUGCUCGAAAGUGUGGGUAUCAAACAGGAUUAGAUACCCUGGUAGUCCACACAGUAAACGAUGAAUACUCGCUGUUUGCGAUAUACAGUAAGCGGCCAAGCGAAAGCGUUAAGUAUUCCACCUGGGGAGUACGCCGGCAACGGUGAAACUCAAAGGAAUUGACGGGGGCCCGCACAAGCGGAGGAACAUGUGGUUUAAUUCGAUGAUACGCGAGGAACCUUACCCGGGCUUGAAUUGCAACUGAAUGAUGUGGAGACAUGUCAGCCGCAAGGCAGUUGUGAAGGUGCUGCAUGGUUGUCGUCAGCUCGUGUCGUGAGAUGUUGGGUUAAGUCCCGCAACGAGCGCAACCCCUGUUUCUAGUUGCCAGCACAUAAUGGUGGGAACUCUAGAAAGACUGCCGGUGAUAAAUCGGAGGAAGGUGGGGAUGACGUCAAAUCAGCACGGCCCUUACGUCCGGGGCUACACACGUGUUACAAUGGGGGGUACAGAAGGCAGCUACACGGCGACGUGAUGCUAAUCCCGAAAGCCUCUCUCAGUUCGGAUUGGAGUCUGCAACCCGACUCCAUGAAGCUGGAUUCGCUAGUAAUCGCGCAUCAGCCACGGCGCGGUGAAUACGUUCCCGGGCCUUGUACACACCGCCCGUCACACCAUGGGAGUGGGUUGUACCAGAAGUAGAUAGCUUAACCUUCGGGGGGGCGUUUACCACGGUAUGAUUCAUGACUGGGGUG